CCUUAUGCUCGAGGUCUUUUUUUGAAAUCACGCAUUUUUCUUUUUCUUUUCGAUCUUCUUCCUCUCUUCCUUCUCCCUUGACUUCCUUCUUUUCGUUCUUUUCUUUUCUUCCACCGAGAGACCGAGAGAGGGAGGCCGAGAGAGCUGGAGAGAACCUGAGAGAGACACGCGGUGGGCUAGCCACCGUUGGGGGUGGGCGACGGCAACGGCGCCGGAGGCCGGUGGGUCACGGCCCGACGCCGGUAAAGCCAACAGAUGUCUUUUUCCGGCGUUUUCUCGCCACCCAAACAUGGACAAAUUCAUUUUUCGGGAUAUCAUUCUUUGCAAGUGUAUCGAGUAGCACAUGCAUUGUAGAGCCAAGGAUGCAAAGUAUUGGCCUUGACACUACAAAGCCGAAUCAGUGAGCUGCAAAAAUUGGAGAUUGAAUAUUGUUGGAUCAUGGGACAAGUGUGGUUAUUGGUGAAACUGCAGUUGUAGGAAACAGAGUUUCAUUGAUGCAUAUGCUACCAAAGAAUUUUUCCAACUUGUGGCUGUUAAUUCUAAAGAUGGAAGAUCAACUGGGAUUUGUUUUUUAUUAUAUAUAUAUAUAUAUAUAUAUACAGGUCGCCGCUAAUGAUAGAGGAUUAACGGCCACUUUGGUGUCGCUGCUAAUAAUAGAGCAUUAGCGGCGACAUCUAAUAAUGUUUUAUUUAUUUUUUUUAAUUUUUUUUUAAUAUCAUUAGCGGCGACUUGUAUAUUGCCGCUAAUAAUAGAGUAUUAGCGGCGACCCAUAUGUUGCCACUAAUGAUAGAGCAUUAGCGGCGACAUACGGGUCAAGUUUUAAAGUUUUUUAGUGUCCACAUAAAUACUUUUAGCGGCGACAAUUAUCGCCGCUAUUUAUCUAUUAUUAGCGGCGACUCUUUGAGGUUGCAACUAUUGAUCAUUAACUACAAACUUUUAGUGACCACCCCGUUAGCGGCCACAUGUUGCCGCUAUUGAUCAAUAGUGGCAACACCAAGAGGGAAAUCUAUCAUUGAAUUGGUUAUUACGAAAAUAAAUCAUAUUUUAUUCAAAUGUUCAAAUUUUUUCUUACAAAGUCAAACCUUGUAAUUCGCGCAAUAAAUUAGAAUAAUAUUUGAAUUCAACACUCAAACUUACUAUCCUAUCAAAUUUUGUUGCUUGGAAAAUGUGUGAGGUACUGCAAUUAUUAUAAUAAAUUCACGUGUCACAUGAACUACUAUAUUAGUUUGUCAGAAACUUGUAAUAAAAGUUGUAGCACCCUUAAUAACAAAUUCAUUCUUCUACUUUUGUUGCCACUUGAGUUUGCAACUUGGAAUUGCAGCAAAUUAAGCAGGAAGGAAAAACAGAGAAAAAUAAAGAAGAAAAGAUGGAAAACAAAUUGCAUUCGUGUCUCUUAUUGAUAUAUAUAUUGACAAUCAAGAUCAAGAUGUGUUCAAGUAGUUAUGUAGAGAAUAAUUUUUUUUU